rnacentral:snRNA from 1 species
AUCUUUGUGCUUGGAGCGAUGACGCAGCUAGUAAGGUUCUUAACUAGGCGCGUCUAUUGCUGGUUGAAAACUAUUUCCAUACCCAUUCUUGGCCCUACAGGUUCGCCCAGGGGGGAUGUCCAAAAGAUUUUGAUGGGAUACCUUUGGGA